rnacentral:rRNA from 1 species
GAGCUCAACUCCGGAACUGCCUUUGGAACUGGGAACCUAGAGGCCAGGAGAGGUUAGUGGAAUACCGAGUGGAGAGGUGAAAUUCGCAGAUAUUCGGUGGAACACCAGUGGCGAAGGCGACUGACUGGACUGGUACUGACGCUGAGGCGCGAAAGUGUGGGGAGCAAACAGGAUUAGAUACCCUGGUAGUCCACACCGUAAACGAUGACAGCUAGUUGUUGGCAGGCAUGCCUGUCGGUGACGCAGCUAACGCAUUAAGCUGUCCGCCUGGGGAGUACGGCCGCAAGGUUAAAACUCAAAGAAAUUGACGGGGGCCCGCACAAGCGGUGGAGCAUGUGGUUUAAUUCGAUGCAACGCGAAGAACCUUACCAGGGCUUGACAUGUCGCGAAUCUAAAGGAAACUUUAGAGUGCCUUCGGGAACGCGAACACAGGUGGUGCAUGGUUGUCGUCAGCUCGUGUCGUGAGAUGUUGGGUUAAGUCCCGCAACGAGCGCAACCCUCGUCCUUAGUUGCCAGCCUUAAGUGGGGCACUCUAGGGAGACUGCCGGUGACAAACCGGAGGAAGGUGGGGAUGACGUCAAGUCAUCAUGCCCCUUACGUCCUGGGCUACACACGUACUACAAUGGUUGGGACAAAGGGCAGCGAACUCGCGAGAGUAAGCGAAUCUCAUCAAACCCAGCCUCAGUUCAGAUUGCAGGCUGCAACUCGCCUGCAUGAAGGAGGAAU